UUCCGGUUGAUCCUGCCAGAGGUUACUGCUAUCGAGGUUCGACUAAGCCAUGCGAGUCGAAUGUAGCAAUACAUGGCGUACUGCUCAGUAACACGUGGACAACCUGCCCUUAGGUUGGGUAUAAACCCGGGAAACUGGGUAUAAUCCCCUAUAAGUCUCGGCUGCUGGAAUGCACCGAGAUUAAAAGCUCCGGCGCCUAAGGAUGGGUCUGCGGCCUAUCAGGUAGUAGUGGGUGUAGCGUACCUACUAGCCUACGACGGGUACGGGUUGUGAGAGCAAGAGCCCGGAGAUGGAUUCUGAGACACGAAUCCAGGCCCUACGGGGUGCAGCAGGCGCGAAAACUUUACAAUGCUGGCAACAGCGAUAAGGGAACCUCGAGUGCCAGGUUACAAAUCUGGCUGUCGAGAUGCCUAAAAAGCAUUUCAUAGCAAGGGCCGGGCAAGACCGGUGCCAGCCGCCGCGGUAACACCGGCGGCUCGAGUGGUAACCGUUAUUAUUGGGUCUAAAGGGUCUGUAGCCGGCCGGAUAAGUCUCUUGAGAAAUCUGGCAGCUCAACUGUCAGGCUUUCAGGAGAUACUGUCUGGCUCGAGGCCGGGAGAGGUGAGAGGUACUUCAGGGGUAGGGGUGAAAUCUUGUAAUCCUUGAAGGACCACCAGUGGCGAAGGCGUCUCACCAGAACGGACCUGACGGCAAGGGACGAAAGCUAGGGGCACGAACCGGAUUAGGUACCCGGGUAGUCCUAGCCGUAAACGAUACUCGCUAGGUGUCGGCCACGGUGCGACCGUUGUCGGUGCCGUAGGGAAGCCGUGAAGCGAGCCACCUGGGAAGUACGGCCGCAAGGCUGAAACUUAAAGGAAUUGGCGGGA
rnacentral:rRNA from 1 species